CUGGAGCUGGAGGAAGCCUUUGGGGUUAAACCAUUUGAGAGCGAUUUAACCCCUUAAAGGAAAGCGAGCACCCAGGGGCUUCCUGGCAUCAUAGCAUUUUAAUUUAGGUGAAGUUGUUAUGGUGACCAGAAUGGUCCAUUAAUUUGCUUAAAGGAACACUAUAGUAUCAGGAAUACAAACAUAUAUUCCUGACACCAUAGUUGUGAAAACGCUAGUUACCCUGGCUUUAUGUGAUAAUGGCUGUGCCCCUUCCCUUUCAUGACACUGUCAAAAAGGUACCAAGCAUGGAUGUCAUUACAAUUAUGCCCCCCCCUGGAAAAAUUCCUGCGGACACCCAUGCGCUCUGACUUGCUUGCUCGCGGGAGGAUCACAGCCUCCCAGGUCCUCCUCCUAUCCAGCAUGCUCCCGGGUCCUACCUCCAUCCUGCCCUCUCCCUUAACAAAAUGCUAGGAGACCAGUGAGGGAGAUCUUUGCCCGAAAAAGGGAUAGAGCAGGGCCGUUCCC